UCUACCCAUUCGUCGACACAUACAAAUAGAAGAGUCACAAGUCACAAGAGCCAACCUAAACAGGAGCAAGCAUUCAUUAGCCAGUAAUUCUCAUCAGCAGUUUAGUGAAUCAUCUACGUCAUCGUUUUACCGAUCUGUUGGGGGAUUAAGGAGCUCUUGGCACGGAGAUUCUAGUUUUAAAUCAAUCAACAGCCCAGCAAAAAAAACAUCGGAACUUUCCCAAAGCACAGAUAACCUGACAUUCGUUGGUUUACCGGAGCAGGCCGAGCAGAUAUUGAUGUGGUACUCACUCAACUGGAGUG